rnacentral:rRNA from 1 species
AGAGUUUGAUCAUGGCUCAGAACGAACGCUGGCGGCGUGGAUAAGACAUGCAAGUCGGACGGGACUUUUCGUUGUAGCAAUACAGUGGAAAGUUCAGUGGCGAACGGGUGCGUAACACGUGGGCAAUUUGCCUUAAAGUGUGGGAUAGCUCGGCGAAAGCCGAAUUAAUACCGCAUGUGGCUACUGGAGACAUCUUCGGGACGCUAAAGGUGGCGCAAGCUACCGCUUUUUGAGGAGCCCGCGGCCUAUCAGCUUGUUGGUGAGGUAACGGCUCACCAAGGCGUUGACGGGUAGCUGGUCUGAGAGGACGACCAGCCACACUGGGACUGAGACACGGCCCAGACACCUACGGGUGGCAGCAGUCGAGAAUUUUUGACAAUGGGGGAAACCCUGAUCGAGCGACGCCGCGUGGAGGAUGAAGGUCUUCGGGUUGUAAACUCCUGUCAUUUGGGAACAAGGCGUAUUUAUUAACUGUAAGUACGUUGAUAGUACCAGAAGAGGAAGAGACGGCUAACUCUGUGCCAGCAGCCGCGGUAAUACAGAGGUCUCAAGCGUUGUUCGGAUUCAUUGGGCGUAAAGGGUGUGUAGGUGGCGCGCUAAGUCGGGUGUGAAAUUUCGGAGCUUAACUCCGAAACUGCAUUCGAUACUGGCGUGCUUGAGGACUGGAGAGGAGACUGGAAUUUACGGUGUAGCAGUGAAAUGCGUAGAUAUCGUAAGGAAGACCAGUGGCGAAGGCGGGUCUCUGGACAGUUCCUGACACUGAGACACGAAGGCCAGGGGAGCAAACGGGAUUAGAUACCCCAGUAGUCC